rnacentral:lncRNA from 1 species
GAUCUCGAUGCUCUUCGGAGGCGUGACUUUCCUCGCCGGCGCCGCCAUCAACGGCGCCGCCAAGGACGUCGCCAUGCUCAUCAUUGGGCGCAUCCUCCUCGGCGUCGGCGUCGGCUUCGCUAACCAGGUACCCCCGACGACGAUCCUCCCGCAUUGAUUUCUCCCGCUCCGCUGCCCGCGGAUUUGGCGACACCAGCGAGAGCCCAAGAAGGGAAGAUCAGAGGGGAAUAAUUCCUCCUGUUCUUCUCUCCGGAUUCCCCUUUUUCCGAUCGAACCUCCAAACCCAGAAGAUAAAGAUAAUCCGCCCAAGAAAAUUCAAGGCUCGUGGAGCCCCCCGGCCCUGAUAUUUUCCCUCAUCCCCGGCUUUCAAUCGUUGAUAGCACCCCGCUCGCCGUGCGUUUACUUUUUUGAAUUCCCGUCGCUGUUGGUCUGACUCGUGGCGCCGAUAAAGUCAAACCUGUCCUUUUCUUCCCCAGACCACGGCGGGCGACGAGCCAGCCGGGGGGCCAUACAGGCAUCAAAUGCGUUCCUUUUCCAUUAUUUUCAUUGUUUCCAUUAUCUUCCGAAGAUUGAAUGAGAUUUUGACGAGGGUAAUCAAAAUAAUUACUCAUUAUUUCGUUAUCUCGGCCCGCGAUUGAUCGUAGUCUUUGGAAAUCUGGUGCAGUCGGUGCCGGUGUACCUGUCGGAGAUGGCGCCGGCGAGGUACCGGGGGAUGCUGAACAUCGGCUUCCAGCUGAUGAUCACCAUCGGCAUCUUCGUGGCGAACCUGGUGAACUACGGCACCUCCAAGAUCAGCGGCGGGUGGGGGUGGCGCGUCAGCCUCGCCGGCGCCGCCGUGCCGGCGCUGAUCAUCACCGUCGGCUCGGUCUUCCUGCCCGACACCCCCAACUCACUCAUCGAGAGGGGGAGGGACGAGGAGGCGCGCACCAUGCUCCGCAAGGUCCGCGGCACCGACGACGUCGACGC